rnacentral:rRNA from 1 species
UACAGAGGUCUCAAGCGUUGUUCGGAUUCAUUGGGCGUAAAGGGGUGCGUAGCGGCGCGGUAAGUCGGGUGUGAAAUCUCGGAGCUUAACUCCGAAACUGCAUUCGAUACUGCCGUGCUUGAGGACUGGAGAGGAGACUGGAAUUUACGGUGUAGCGGUGAAAUGCGUAGAUAUCGUAAGGAAGACCAGUGGCGAAGGCGGGUCUCUGGACAGCUCCUGACGCUGAGGCACGAAGGUCAGGGGAGCAAACGGG